UACGGAGGGUGCAAGCGUUAAUCGGAAUUACUGGGCGUAAAGCGUACGUAGGCUGUCAAGUCAGUCAGAUGUGAAAGCCCCGGGCUUAACCUGGGAACUGCAUUUGAUACUGCUUGACUCGAAUCUGGUAGAGGGUAGUGGAAUUCCAUGUGUAGCGGUGAAAUGCGUAGAUAUGUGGAGGAACAUCAGUGGCGAAGGCGGCUACCUGGACCAAGAUUGACGCUGAGGUACGAAAGCGUGGGGAGCGAACAGG
rnacentral:rRNA from 1 species